rnacentral:tRNA from 1 species
CUCCCUGGCAGUCCAGUGGUUAGGACUCUGGGCUUCCACCUCAGGGACCACAGUUUUGAUCCCUGUCAGGGAAC